GAGCAUAGAGGAGAGGCACCUAAUCCAGCCCUGCCACUAGAGGAGGUCUUCUUGGAAGAGGUGGCAUCAGCACUGGGUCUUAAAGGAUGAGCAAGAGGUGGCCGAAAGAGGUUUUGCAUAGUUGGAAGUUAAGGAGGACCAACAGGCCAUAACCUUGAGAGAAGAAAUCACACCAGCACCCCAUCCUGCUCAGGAAGCCUCAGCAGAGAAUCAGCUCUGGCUUUAUCCCCAGUCCAGGGAGCCAGGCCCACAGCCCCUUUGUUCUCAUGGGUGAAAACAAAACACAGCAAAAUAAAAAGCUGAUUCUAGGUGGAUGUCA